CCUACGGGCGGCAGCAGUGGGGAAUAUUGGACAAUGGGCGAAAGCCUGAUCCAGCCAUGCCGCGUGUGUGAAGAAGGCCUUCGGGUUGUAAAGCACUUUCAGUGGGGAAGAAAGCCUUGGGGCUAAUACCCUCGAGGAAGGACAUCACCCACAGAAGAAGCACCGGCUAACUCCGUGCCAGCAGCCGCGGUAAUACGGAGGGUGCGAGCGUUAAUCGGGAUUACUGGGCGUAAAGCGCGCGUAGGCGGUCUGAUAAGCCGGUUGUGAAAGCCCCGGGCUCAACCUGGGAACGGCAUCCGGAACUGUCAGGCUAGAGUGCAGGAGAGGAAGGUAGAAUUCCCGGUGUAGCGGUGAAAUGCGUAGAGAUCGGGAGGAAUACCAGUGGCGAAGGCGGCCUUCUGGACUGACACUGACGCUGAGGUGCGAAAGCGUGGGUAGCAAACAGGAUUAGAUACCCUUGUAGUC
rnacentral:rRNA from 1 species